UGGGAAUGACUUUCCCAAGUGCCUUUGAGCGUCCAAAGCUCCUUGAGCCAAAUAUUGAGUGUUCGGUAAAAUUUUUAGAACCCACCUUGAGAAAAAGUCGGCCUUGAGAAGGCUGAAAGCCCAAGGCAGGUGAGAAGGUGCCUUGGGCUUUUCAGCUUUCUCGGCAUGCAGCUCCAUAGGAUAAGUAAACUUUUUUAGUUGCAUUUUUGCCCUCAAAUAUUUAUUAAAAUUCCAACUUUAGCCUUUUGUAAAAAUAGAAACCCUAGAUCUACAAGCAGCCGCUCCCUCCGUCUCCCUCACUCAACGGAGACUCCCACCUCCCUUAAUAAUCGGUGGUUUGAUGGCUUCGAAUCAAGCCAGUCUUCUCCUCCUGAAGCAACUCCGAGGUCCAAUUCUGACUCUGAUUUCGCCUUCCUUUUUUAGGGUUUCUUUUCUGUUCUUUUCUCGCAGUCGUGGAACGCGUGGGUGUCGGUGAUUGGUUGCAGAUCUUUGUAGGAACCCGGUGGAUGGGUUCUCCGCAGGGUUGGUGGACGAGACCAGCGUGUUCGAGUAGAGCGUCUCCAUAAUUGGUCCUCCCGACACUCUAUAGAUGAUGACUAUGGCUAUUUCGCGUGGAUUCAACUCCACAUUUGGCGACAAAGAGAUGAUUUCCUAAUUGAAGUUUGAGAAGGAAUUGAUGGCUUAGAGAGUAGAAAUGGUGGAAAACAAGCUGAGUAUCACUGAGCAACAGUCCAACACAGUAUGUUGCUGGAAAGGACUAAGCAUGUGGUGAACAUGAGACAACAAUGUGCAAGUUUAAGCCUUGAGAUUGACAAAAAGGGAGAGACAGACAGAAAAUAUGGUCAUACUGAGUGACCGUUGCUGAAACAACGAUGUUGGUUUCUCCCCGAUCGUUGCUUUUUGUGUGACCAUUUCUGAAACAACGAUGUUGGUUUCUACUUGGUCGUUGCUUUUUGUGGGAGGGAUUCUCCCAAGACAUAAGGGAAUUGUACUAGUGAAUGUGGGUUUUUUUUUUGUCAAAUUGAUGGGUUGAUGUAUGUUAAACACUUGUGGUGUUGCACAAUGAUUAAUGCACAAAUGUGGUUUGUUCUAGCAUCCAUUUCUAGUAGAUAAUCACAUGAGAAUGUUGGUGGUUGCUAUCA